CAUGUUCCUUCUAAAGCAGAGGCUCGCUCUCUCACACACACACUUCCCUCCUUUUCUCCUCUCCUCUGCACUCUCUGCCUCUGACCCAGCUCUCUCAGCAGCCUAAAAAACGAUGAAGACAUUUUAUACUGCUUCCUCUUAGUUUUUCCAUCUCUAUUCAAACCUUAAAUAUGAAUCUGAAUUGUAAUGUUUCCAUCCUAAGACUGCAUUUCUUACUUAUCUCUCUUUUACUUAAAUAGGAGAUAAGGCAAGAAAAGCAAUUAUAAGAAGAGAAGCUACUGAAAUGAAACCAUUUUUCUUAACCUUUGAGUUCAGGCAAAAAUCACCCAAGUCCAAAUAGGCAAACAUGUCCCCUCAGGACUCUCAGAAGUGGAUUCUGUGUCUUCUUUAGAAAGCAUUGACAAUAACUUCACUCAUCUCUGCUGCUGCUGCUGCUAAGUCGCUUCAGUCAUGUCCGACUCUGUGCGAGCCCAGAGACGGCAGCCCACCAGGCUCCCCUGUCCCUGGGAUUCUCCAGGCAGGAACACUGGAGUGGGUUGCCAUUUCCUUCUCCACUCAUCUCUAUCAACAUAAUUGAGAACUACCUGGUUUAGCUGGUGGAGGGGAAGAGACUGAGCUUUAGGAGUCUCCUGAGAUGCUUUUCAGUGUCUGUGGUCAGAAGAGGAAGCUGUGAUGACGGAGCAAAUCAAUGACAUCAGUGUCACCUGGGAGGUGGUGUGACAAGUAAGGAUCUAUUAAUAGAAAGGACAACUGGGAAAAUGUCACACUUAGAAAACAAAUGAUUUGUGGCAAGAGAAGCUGGGAACCCAUUUCAGGUGAAAGGAAGAAUAACUUUCCUCAGCAACAAGAAGACAGAUAGCAUCUGCUUCUGUGCCUCAGGGGAUAGGAACGGCUCAGUUGGUAAAGAAUCUGCCUGCAAUGCAGGAGACCCGGGUUUGAUCUCUGGGUCAGGAAGAUCCCCUGGAAAAGGAAAUGACAACACACUCCAGUAUUCCUGCCUGGAGAAGAAUUUCUUGCCUGGAGAAGUAUUGUCCCAUGGACCGAGGAGCCUGGAGGGCUACCACCCAUGUGGUUACAAGAGCUAAACACGGCUUAGUGACUAAACCACCACCACCCAUGAGCACAUGAUGUCUUUCCAUUUAUUUUAGGUCCUCUUUAAUUUCUUUCAACCAUGAUUUUUAGUUUUCAGAGUAUAAUUUUUAUACUUCUAUUAAAUUUGUUCUUUAAUAUUUUAUUCUUUUUGAUGUUAUUGUAAAUUGAAUUAUUUUCUUAAUUUCAUUUAUGGUUUGUUCAUUGCUACCAAUGUACAAUUAGUACAGUUGACUUCUGUAGUAUAUAAAUCUGUGUCCUACAACCCAACUGAAUUAAUUUAUUAGUUCUAAUAGUUUUUUAGUAGAAUUCUAAGGAUUUUCUGUAUAUAGGAAUGAUCAUAUCAUCUGCAAAUACAGCUAAUUUUUUUUUCUUUA